GCUUACGGCCACACUACCUUGAGAACCCCCAAUCUCUGAUUUCAGAAGCUUAGCAGGGUCGGGCCUGGUUAGCACCUGGACUGCUUUGACUC
rnacentral:rRNA from 1 species